CAGAAACACAAGUUGGACAAACUUCUGCAAAAAUAGGCCUUUUAUGGAUCUCUAGGCCAAACCAUGGGAAAAGCAGAGGCGUCAGGAGAUAGGUGUGGGACAGCUGUCCUGGCUCUCCUGGCUGCUCUCUAAGGUCACUGGUUUCAUUGUCUCAUACUCCGUCCAUGGGAAGAGCCCACAGGGGCCAGGUCCACUCUCCAGCUCCAGCUUCAUACUGGGUUGCAUAAGGAGAAAGGCUCUGCGCUCUCAGCAAGUUUAACAAGCUCCAGGGAGGACCCUUCGUGCCUGCCCAAGGUGUUCUUCAGGGUCUGAAAGCUUCCAAUUGGAAAGAGUGGACACAAAAGGCUCCCUUGGAAUUGUGCGCUGUGGGAUGGAGCAGCAAGUGUGAGACACAGAAUCCAGCAAAGCAUGGCUGUGCGACCCCGGUCCCCUUCAUCGCCAGCCCACAGGUCCUGAAGAGGAGCAGCGGCAGCCACCAGGACCUUCUGUGUGUCACCAAGAGAGACCUGGUGUGAGGACCUCGAGGGCUUGGCCCAGGACCCCUGGGGUCUGCAGGGACCCACGGUCCUUCUGCAUAUCGUCACCCCCGCCUGUCCUGCUGAAGCAUGGUUGCUAUCAUUCCUUUUAACUAGUAUUUUUUUGAUAAUUUAAAGCAACACAAAUAAAGCCUAUGUUUUAA
rnacentral:lncRNA from 1 species